rnacentral:lncRNA from 1 species
CGUUACACUUGCAAGCCUCACCCUUUUUCCUCCGGACAUAACAAUGUAUGGGAUGUACAGCAUCAUUCUCUGACAAUUCAUAUCUAAUUUACCUUCAACAAUCAUGUUGCGUGCAUAUUUAGCUAGUAUGGUUAAACCGUGUGUGUGCUAAACUGCUAACUGGUUUUCUCUCCAGGGCCUAGAGGUGCUGCAGUCUCGCUGUACGUCAAUGACCCUGCGGGAGGCAGGACUGCCCAUGCUCAUCCUGUGAGUGGUGUCAGCAGAGGAGGCCAGUAAGGCUCUGUCCCUCCUGGCCCACAGCAUACACACCCUGCUGGGCACAGCCAGAGCCCCUCUGCCCCAGGACUGGCACAAGACACUGGUCCUGCCACAGGCGCUCUGUGCUCCAGGAUGCUGGGUCAGUGCUCUGGGGGUGAGGAGGACUCCACCCAGCAUGUCAUGUCUCCCCUCCUGCCUUCUUCACCCAGUACCCUGCCUUGCAGCCCUUCCUCCUGGGGGAGUUGAGGGGGGCAGCAGGGAACUUACACGGUCCCUAGAGGAGGCCCGGCUCCGCCUGUACCCCUCCCUCUACCCUGAGAGGGGUCCAAGACCAAACAGGGGCUCUGUCAGACUUCCUGAUUCCCCUGCUCCAUCUGGCUGCCAGUCUCAUCUGCAGUGUGAGGAUCUAGACCUCCAAAGCCUUGGUUGCCAUGACGCCCCCCCUCCCAAUACAUGAGUAACCUGCUCCAUUUGACAGGAGACUGGCAAGGUCCCAGGACCACUGUGCUCACAACCGUCUGCAUGAAUAGCUACUGCAGAUCAGAGCCAUCCUGGACUGAGCUCUAUGCACACACAGCUGAGGGUUUACAGAACAGAAUAAAAGGGAAAGAUUCCAUUGAGGUCAUAGAGAUCCUUUAAUUCAUGUUAUUUUUAAUUCAGUGAUUGUCAGGUUUUAUAAUCUGUUUUCUAGUUCCCCGGCCCUCUCCCUGAUGUGAUGUGGUGGGCUAUGUAG